AGCUCCAAGAGCGUAUAUUAAAGUUGUUGCAGUUAAAAAGCUCGUAGUUGGAUUUCUGCUGAGGACGACCGGUCCGCCCUCUGGGUGAGUAUCUGGCUUGGCCUUGGCAUCUUCUUGGAGAACGUAGCUGCACCUGACUGUGUGGUGCGGUAUCCAGGACUUUUACUUUGAGGAAAUUAGAGUGUUUCAAGCAAGCACACGCCUUGAAUACAUUAGCAUGGAAUAAUAAGAUAGGACCUUGGUUUUAUUUUGCUGGUUUCUAGAGCUGAGGUAAUGAUUAAUAGGGAUAGUUGGGGGCAUUCGUAUUUAACUGUCAAAGGUGAAAUUCUUGGAUUUGUUAAAGACGGACUACUGCGAAAGCAUUUGCCAAGGAUGUUUUCAUUG
rnacentral:rRNA from 1 species